AGUCUAAGUAUCACAGUUGAACACAAUGGUUCAGAAGCAGGGUAUAGAAUGAAAGUCAGGAGAUAAAAUUGCAUUUCCCAAUUGCUCUGAACUCUAGUUAGACUUGACGUGGGACGUGAAUAACCUUCCUGUCUAGAGAGCUGCCUCCCUGAAGUGUGACUUCCUCUCUCUCACUUCCAGAACACCCGGCCCAGGGAGAUGCGGAUUUUCAGCAAGAACUUUAUUCCAAUGCUAAUGGGAGACACCACGAAGGAGGACAGCAGCCAUUUGUGCAGAUCAUCUAGAAGAACCUGGACUGUUCUAGAAGGAGCUGAAUACAGUGAUCACGUUGUCCUCUUAGGACCGGGGGGGUGUUUCUGGUUCCACCCCUUCCUGCGGCACCACCUCCCUUUUGAUAUUGCUGAAUUCCAACCUCCCUGGGGCCGAACCUGGAGGUCCUGUUUCCUACGGACUUGGCUGUUGUAGUCCUGGAGCAUUUGAAUGCACACGGCAGACACUCAGAUUGGCACAGAAUUCUUUGUGAAAUAUGAGUGCCAUAGACCGUAACAGAUAGCUUCAUGCACACUAUGCAUUUUAUUGGUUUGUUUGGAAAAUGCGGGCCACUAAAUUAUUAAUAGGUUUAUUUCAAAUAGUUUGGAAAUUGUUGUACUUUUGAAAACAUGCAGUUCCUGUAUAUUUUUAGAUGAGAGUUAUAGCUGUUAUAUAUACAUAAAGAUAACUUUAUUUUCAUUUUAAGAGAGAAUCCUUUUUAUCCUAAAUCGUUUAUUAUCUUUAAAUUGUUUUCUGUAUUAUUACAUGUACCUCUGGGGCGAGUACACUUUUUAUCUAUGAUACUUACAUAAUAAUCUCUUCUAUUUAUAGCUAUUGGUAGUUCCCCUAAGUUCUCAUCACAGAAUUUUUUAUUUGCUGUUUAGACUUAUGACUGAAUUGUCAGAAUUCAGUUGUGAUUUUUAACAUGUCUUAGAUAUAUAUAUUAACAUGUCUAAUAUAGACUAUAUAUUUUAUUGGUUUA